GAUGAACGCUGGCGGCGUGCCUAAUACAUGCAAGUCGAACGCUGAAGGAGGAGCUUGCUCUUCUGGAUGAGUUGCGAACGGGUGAGUAACGCGUAGGUAACCUGCCUGGUAGCGGGGGAUAACUAUUGGAAACGAUAGCUAAUACCGCAUGACAACAGUUAUUGCAUGAUAACUUUUUAAAAGGGGCAACUGCUCCACUACCAGAUGGACCUGCGUUGUAUUAGCUAGUUGGUGAGGUAACGGCUCACCAAGGCGACGAUACAUAGCCGACCUGAGAGGGUGGUCGGCCACACUGGGAAUGAGACACGGCCCAGACUCCUACGGGAGGCAGCAGUAGGGAAUCUUCGGAAAUGGACGGAAGUCUGACCGAGCAACGCCGCGGGAGGGAAGAAGGUUUUCGGAUCGUAAAGCUCGGUUGUAAGAGAAGAAAGAGUGUGAGAGUGGAAAGUUCACACUGUGACGGUAUCUUAACAGAAAGGGACGGCUAACUACGUG
rnacentral:rRNA from 1 species